CCUACGGGAGGCAGCAGUAGGGAAUAUUGGGCAAUGGUCGCAAGACUGACCCAGCCAUGCCGCGUGCAGGAAGACGGCCCUCUGGGUUGUAAACUGCUUUUAUCUGGGAAGAAAAAGUCCAUGCGUGGAAAAUUGCCGGUACCAGAUGAAUAAGCACCGGCUAACUCCGUGCCAGCAGCCGCGGUAAUACGGAGGGUGCAAGCGUUGUCCGGAUUUAUUGGGUUUAAAGGGUGCGUAGGCGGCUGAAUAAGUCAGCGGUGAAAGACUUCGGCUUAACCGGAGCAGUGCCGUUGAUACUGUUUAGCUUGAGUGUUGGAGGGGUACAUGGAAUUGAUGGUGUAGCGGUGAAAUGCAUAGAUACCAUCAGGAACACCGAUAGCGAAGGCAUUGUACUGGCCAACAACUGACGCUGAGGCACGAAAGUGUGGGGAUCGAACAGGAUUAGAUACCCUGAUAGUCCACGCCGUAAACUAUGAUUACUCGUUUUCGGCGAUAUACUGUCGGAGACUAAGCGAAAGUGAUAAGUAAUCCACCUGGGGAGUACGAUCGCAAGGUUGAAACUCAAAUGAAUUGACGG
rnacentral:rRNA from 1 species